GAUGACAGCUUUGAAGGAGAAUGUGUCUGCUGCUCUUACAGAUUGCUUUUGAGUUCAAAUGUUACCUGAUUCUGUUCUCCUUUAUGAUAAAGGGUGAGUUAUCAUGACUCUCAGUUGCAUUAGAUAAGGAAAUGAAGAGCCAGUGUCUUAUUUAUUGGGCCUCCUUGUUGGGAGAAAGCCAUCACAACUCCUUCAGAUUAAAAAUAUCGUACCACUGUACAAAGCUGGUAUUAAUGUAGAAUUAGUAGCCUUGACUUAACUUAAAAAAAUAAAAUAAAAAGUUGCUGAGGUGGACUGAAAUAUAAAACUUUAUCUAGAAACACCACUUAGAUUAUUUAAGGGGUGGAAACCUCACAAGAAGAGGCCAACUCCAGCCCUCCCGGCCUCUGCGUGGCUCUUCAGAUACUUCCUAUGGCACAUCCCUUACUUUAUACCAGUGGCGGACCUUGGGAUCUCAAAUUUCAGCAGUGCCCCGUGCAACGACAAAAUUUGGUGCCUCUUGUGCUCCAUUCUAAAUAAUAGUUGCAGCGUCCCCUGCAAGGCCCCCAAGUCUCUGCGCCCAGUGUGACUGAACCAGUCACACAUCCCUAAAUCUGCCUCAAUUCAUACCCUCCUUAUGUGCUUUUGCCUGGCUAGAAUGUGAUCACUCUUCCUGGUUGCCUUAAUGGAAGAUAGAGAGGCGUGUCCUGUACAAAGGUAAAAUGUACAUUUGCCUCUUCGCUCAGCUUUGCCCCUGGCCUUGCCCCUGGAAGGUUGCCCAGAUGAGAAUGUGGCCCCUUGACCGAAGAAGGUUCCCUGCUCUUGGUUUAUUUGUUCAGUCAUUUAAAACCAGUUUGCAUAUUACUGUGUUCAAGCAGUAAGUAUAAUAGAUGUAACAACCACUAUCUGCAUCUAGGCGAUGUUAAUUACUGUCGGACAUUGCACACACUCACCUUCAUUUUGCACUUGUUUCUUUCUUCACCUUUUCCAUUCUGACCUCUUUGCUGCUGGUUACACUAACAGCACAUUGCCUCUGGAGGUGCCAGCCAUAACAGUUAGAGUCUCUGUGUAAGGUAACGCCUUUUCUAACUUACGUCUGUUGCACUUUCUAGCAGUAGUGCGUACUGUGAAGUGAAGUGAGUCAGUGUAGAGGCCAUUUGUCUUUUGAUUUUUGUUAGCCUGUCCCUGUCAUUCCCUCUCCCCGCCUACAAUUCUGGAUCACUUUGCAUAGGAUGAUUUUGUAUAUGGAUAUCACUUCCAUGUGGUGGAAACAUACAUAUACUAUGAACUGCAGGAUAUAAGACUGUACCACUUAAAAGGUUUUUGUCAAGCGGUAUAUAAACCUUGUCAAGUAAAUGAAUAAAAUGCCUUGAUGUCAAGUUAAGGCUUAAUACCUUGCAUGUAUAGCCCACAAAUAGUUUAUUAGCUUGUUUGCUUGCUUAUCCCUACGAAAAUCAUUUGUGAGACUUGGCUUGCCUGUCAUAUUAAAACAUAGGUGACGUAAACUAUGGUUUAAGCUGAAUGAGUAGCAUGCUGCUUAAAUACUGUUGCUUCAAUCUUUUCCCUUGCUCAUACUGCACUGUGAAGGAAAUGGUGGUUGUCUGUGAACCUGGGCUUGUGGUUUACUUCUUGAGGGAAACCAAGAUUUGUUCUUGGCUUAGCACUCAUGGUUUGUUUGAGGGAAACAAACCACAAUUGUACGUUGUUCACAAACCAGGCUCUUACUUGUUUCUUUCCUAACUUAGUCCUCUCAAGGCUUUGGUGCUUAUAUCCUGGUCCAUUUGACAUACAAACUGGGAUUGAUUGUUCAAAAGAGGGAAUGAAAGACCCCCUUUCCCCUGUUUUACUUUCAAGCAUUUCUUGCUUGUCAGAGGUGACCAGGUGAGUUUACAGGGAGAUAUGCCCUUAGGAAAUGGUGGCCUUUAUAUGCUCAAAAUAUAUGUUAGGUUUGCAUUGGUCACCUUUUCAAUAAGACGUGGAUCAAAAGUACUCUAAUUCUGUGUACCUUAGGGAGAUUGAUGCUUUUGGUUCUCCAACCUUCAAUUACUGCAUCACAGAUCUCUGUUGAAAUUGAGAGGUGCUUUAAAAGCAAUUUGUGAUACAACAUUUGGAGGAAGUGGCCUGUGUGUGUGGUAUUUCAACAGUUCAAAGAUGAAAGGUGUAAAAUUUCAUUAGCCAUCUCCAGGCCCUUAAAUGCCUCAAGUAGUUCUUUGGAGCCAAGCCAUGUCUGCCCUUCUCCUGUUACUUUAGUCCUUUCCCUGGUGCAACCUUUUCCAUUUAUAGGAAAUGCUGUGUUGAGUUGAGAAGAUAAAAAAUAUAAGAAAGUUUCUGGCAGUGUUUAUGAAAAAAAUGCAGAGGAAUUUAAAUAACUUUUAAAAUGCAAUUGUGAAUUGUUCGUUUUGGACUUAGAAUUAGAGGUAAAAACAGAUGGUAAAGCUUGUUUUUGAGCAUUCUCUAUUAAAUUAACCUGUGCUUAGCAGUGAUUGUUCAGUUUAAUAGGAUUUUGCCUCUCUGGAAUUCAUUGGAAGGAAACACAAUUUCUGGAAACAUUCAUUUUAUCAGGAGGUUCACUAGAGUUGGGUUUACUGCAAAAACCUUCUAUCCGUGGUAUAGAAAAAGCAGUAACAAAGAGCUAUAUUUCACCUUUUGAGGCCAUACAGAAAGCAGGCUCUGACUUGUAAAGGAAAUUAUUCUGAGCAGAUGGCUGUAAAUGCACCUAGGAACAUUUACCUUUAUUGUUCUUGGUUUGGACGGCUACAGCAUAGCUGGAAGUGUCUAUUUUGAUUCUGCUUAGAAGCUAUUUCAUACUGAAGUAGAAGAACUUAAAUGCAUCUCUUCUCCAGGGAGAAAAUAGUAUAUUCAAGCAAAGAAAGAAGUACAUAUGUAUUAGCUAUACUUCAUUCAUUUUAGUUUGAUUGUCCUUUUCAAAUUGAAAAAAGACUAGCUCAGUAUUUACGCAGCAAUAUGCUUUUCUACAACUGCAUUUAUUUUGUGCAUCAUGCACAAACAGAAUCCUGUUAGUUCUCACCAUGGCAAAAUGUAAAAUAGCAAACCAAUUUUGAAAAACCAUUCACGUUUAUUUUAGCACAUCUUUCAGGAUUUUUCUGAAAAUAGUUAAGAACAUGGCAGCUCUGGUGAAUCAAACCAAAGGUUCAUCUAGUCUAGCAUUCUGUUUUCAGCAAUGGCCUGCUGAAUAUUUCUGGGAUGCCUAUAGAAAGGGCAUGAAGGCAAGAGCUGUCUCCUGUUUGUUUUCCCCAAACUGUUUUGCAGUUCACAGGCUCUGAACAUAAAAGUUCCAUUUUUCUCUUAAGGCUAAUAGCCACUGAUCUGUUCUCUAUGAAUUUAACUGCUUCUUUUCUAAAACCCAUCUUAGCCUUUGGCACUCAUUCAUUUGGCAGGAAUGUGGGAUAGGGUUUCCGCAUGAGAUGCCUUCUUGCCCUGGGAGAUUUUUGUGGCCUCUCUAAGGCUUCUCUGCACAAAGCUGAAAACUUUGUUGUCCUGGCAAACCUCUGGCCUGUAGGUGUUUGGCAUAGAACUGUUCCUUUGCUUGUUUUAGCUUAGCUCGAGUCUCUACUGCCAUUUGUUUCUUUAAUUUUGCUUACUGUUACGUGCUGUGUGUUUAAUAUUUUCACAAAAAAUAUUGAUUGUGUGGUGUAAGCCAUAUUAAGUGCCUCAAUUCAGGAUACAUAUGUUUUAAAUAACGUCCUUGUAGUAGUGAAUUUCGCAAGUUUUGAAUUUUCUGUUCUGAAUUUACUACCCCUGAAUUUCAUUGAGUGUCCCCAAGUUCUAUCAUUAUAUGCAAGGAAGAAAAUUUAUAUUAUAAUCUGCACCCUGUUCAUAAUUUUGGAAACCUCUCUUGUGUCUUUCCCUUAGUCCUUUGUCUACACCUGAAAAGCUCCAGAUGCUUUUUAUCUUUUCCUUGUAGAGAAUAGAGAAAAUAUUCUACUGUUCCCUUGAUCAUUUUCGUUGCCCUCUUCAAAUUUUUAAAGCUGUCAAAACUGAUGCAAUUUACAGUUUUGGAAAGGUUUCUAAUAAUGAGUCAACAUUGUAUGUAAAGGAUUGUAUUUGUGCUUGUCUAAAAAUCCAAUGAACACAUGAAGUGUUUUCCAUUGUUACUGUUUAUCGUCAUCAAAGAUAAAUGGCAUCUGUUUUGAGGUCUUAAAAUCUCCCCGAAAGACAGUUACGAUUUAUACGUAAGGAAUAGUUAUACUGCUAGUUUAACUCACAGGGAAACUCUCAAUAAACCAAGUAUCAGUAGUUGCAAGAACAGUGUUUCAAGAAAAAAAAAAGGCAGACCUAUGUUAGUUCUUUAACUUUGUGGAAAUAAUAGGUUUCACUUUCUUACUCUACACAUUUCUGUAGAGUAUCUUGAAGAAUAUCAUUGAAUACUUUAGCUAAACUUGUAUGUUAAUACAUAGAAACAAUAAUUUUCUCAACAUGCUUAAAUCCAAAAGGGGAAAAUAAAAGCAUUCCCCCCCACAAAAAAAA